UACGUAGGGUGCAAGCGUUGUCCGGAAUUACUGGGCGUAAAGCGCACGUAGGCGGCCUUGUAAGUUAGAGGUGAAAGCCCAGGGCUCAACCCUGGAAUUGCCUUUAAGACUGCAUCGCUUGAACACGGGAGAGGUGAGUGGAAUUCCGAGUGUAGAGGUGAAAUUCGUAGAUAUUCGGAAGAACACCAGUGGCGAAGGCGGCUCACUGGACCGUUGUUGACGCUGAGGUGCGAAAGCGUGGGGAGCAAACAGG
rnacentral:rRNA from 1 species